GAUGAAGAACGUAGCGAAAUGCGAUAAGUAAUGUGAAUUGCAGAAUUCAGUGAAUCAUCGAUUCUUUGAACGCACCUUGCGCCCUUUGGCCAUUCCGAAGGGCAUGCCUGUUUGAGUAUCAUGAACACCUCAACUCUUUAUGGUUUUCCAUGAUGAGCUUGGACUCUGGGGGUUUUGCUGGCUCACAGUCGGCUCCUCUAAAAUGAAUCAGCUUACCAGUGUUUGGUGGGUAUCAUGGGUGUGAUAACUAUCUACGCUUGUGGUUUUUCCACCAGGUAACCUUCAGCAGUGGAGGUUCGCUGGAGCUCAUAGAUGUCUCUCCUCAGUGAGGACAGCCCUUUGAAUGUUUGAUCUCAAAUCAGGUAGGACUACCCGCUGAACUUAAGCAUAUCAAUAAGCGGAGGA
rnacentral:misc_RNA from 1 species